rnacentral:rRNA from 1 species
UACAGAGGUCUCAAGCGUUGUUCGGAUUCAUUGGGCGUAAAGGGUGUGUAGGUGGCGCGCUAAGUCGGGUGUGAAAUUUCGGAGCUUAACUCCGAAACUGCAUUCGAUACUGGCGUGCUUGAGGACUGGAGAGGAGACUGGAAUUCAUGGUGUAGCAGUGAAAUGCGUAGAGAUCAUGAGGAAGACCAGUGGCGAAGGCGGCCUUCUGGACAGCAACUGACGCUGAGACGCGAAAGCUAGGGUAGCAAACGGG